CCAGAAGAGAGGAGGGAAAAGAGGGUGUCUAUGGCUUCCUCAAUUCCUUCCAUCAAGAUUGGAGUCUCUCCUCAUCCUUCUCAUAGAUUGCCUUUGAGGUCAUCCACCAUCAUCAGGAGCUCCAAAGCUGAGGGCCCCCUGAGGAGACCUGCAGCUCCUCUCUGCGCAACCCCACCCCACCCCCUCUUCUUUCUCCACCGCUUCCUCCAUCUCCUCCAAAGCUGAGGGCCCCCUGAGGAGACCUGCAUCUCCUCCCCACACCCGUCUUUUUCCUUCACCACCGCUUCCUCCAUCUCCUCCUGCCCCAGCACAGUCUCCUCCGAGGCCGGUUGAAGCGCCCGCAACCAAGGAGGGGAUGGUGACUUUGGAGUACCAGAGGGUGGUGGCAA
rnacentral:lncRNA from 1 species